rnacentral:lncRNA from 1 species
GUGAGUGAGCUGCUCCUGUGGCAGGUACAGGCAGAUGCUGCAUAACUUGAAGAUUGUAGCUUUGUUUUUUGGAGUCUGCAAGUGCUGUCUGUCAAUGAAGAGAAACACUGACUGGGUAGGGUUGUUGACAACAAUUCCAGUCUUGUCCUUUCGGCUCAGAACAUGCAGAAACUGUUUUUCGUAGUCACCAUGAUGAAACUCAAACUUGGCCUGAACAGGCCUAAAAGGUUCAUCAGAUCCCUUCCACCGAGAAAACAGGAGACAGACUAUCUUCUCAAUGUCAUUACGAGGCCAAAGAAUGAAGUCCAUCUCCUGGGUACAGCC